rnacentral:rRNA from 1 species
UACGAAGGGGGCUAGCGUUGCUCGGAAUUACUGGGCGUAAAGGGCUCGUAGGUGGCCAACUAAGUCAGACGUGAAAUCCCUCGGCUUAACCGGGGAACUGCGUCUGAUACUGGAUGGCUUGAGUUCGGGAGAGGGAUGCGGAAUUCCAGGUGUAGCGGUGAAAUGCGUAGAUAUCUGGAGGAACACCGGUGGCGAAGGCGGCAUCCUGGACCGACACUGACACUGAGGAGCGAAAGCCAGGGGAGCAAACGGG